GCUGUGUCUCAGUGGACAUGGCUGAGCAUCUGCUUUGUCUGCAGAAGGUCCCAGGUUCAAUCCCUGGCAUCUGCA
rnacentral:tRNA from 1 species